GACCUUAACCACAUUUGAAGACAACUAAAACCAGUUACUAAACGUAUUAAUAUAUCAAUAAUAUAUUUAUUGCAUAUCCAUUGUUCUUUCCCAAUGUAAGUCCAUACGGAGGAACUGCAAUUAUUUUUCUAUUAUCGCAAUUGCUCUGUCUGUAUACUAUGACGUCAUAAAGGUGUCACGUCAUAAACUUUUCCAUGACGUAAUAGAUUUAAACCACUAUACGAUACAUCAUGUGUUGUUCUCCAACUCCAUAAAAUUGAUGUAUGCAAUGUCUUAUUAUAACAUUUUAAAAGAAUUUCUUUUAUAACAUAUCAUUGAUUCUGUUAACAAAUCUAUGUGAAUUAAAAAGAUACAUUAC
rnacentral:sRNA from 1 species